rnacentral:piRNA from 1 species
GAAAUGAAUGUAUAUGUGUGUUUGCGGUC